rnacentral:rRNA from 1 species
UACCAGCACCCCGAGUGGUCGGGACGAUUAUUGGGCCUAAAGCAUCCGUAGCCGGUCAUGCAAGUCCUCCGUUAAAUCCACCUGCUCAACAGAUGGGCUGCGGAGGAUACUACAAGGCUAGGAGGCGGAAGAGGCAAGCGGUACUCAGUGGGUAGGGGUAAAAUCCUCUGAUCCAUUGAAGACCACCAGUGGCGAAGGCGGCUUGCCAAUACGCGCUCGACGGUGAGGGAUGAAAGCUGGGGGAGCAAACCGG